AGGAAAUCAUCGUCAGUCUUCGGUAUUCAUACCAAGUCACGUACGGUAAUCAUCCUCGCGGUUCUAGAGCCGUACAUCUCGGCGUUAUUUUUGCCUUAUACGUCGGCGCGCACUUCUCCUCUAGUAGAACGUCGCGACCCGUUAAAUCGUUGAUCUAUGGCUCAGUUGAUCGCCUCUUUCUGCUUGCAGUAAGAAAUCAUUGAAGUUCCUGAUCAACUGUUUGACGGUACUCGUAUGAUAUUAAGUCGCUGUUAUAGCGUUAAAUUUAUCACAAGUGCGGUUAAUUUUCGACAGUUCGGACCUAGUGCCGACGUUGAAAUUGACCAACUGUUAGUUGAUAAUACUCUUUAACUGACUAAAUAUUGGUCAGCGACGCUACUGCUUUGGGUACUUUCAGGACCCGUCUUGAAACACGGACCAAGGAGUCUAACAUGUACGCAAGUCAUUGGGAUUUUAAAACAAACCUAAAGGCGUAAUGAAGGUAAAGAUUGUCGUAUGACAAUUCAGGGAAGAUAGGUCUUAUUACGAUAUGAUCUCGCAUUCCCGGGGCA
rnacentral:rRNA from 2 species